rnacentral:lncRNA from 1 species
GAUUUUCAAGGACGCAAAAAACAACCACCCCAAACCGGUCUAAUUGUAGUGCAAACAACAGCAUGUCAUUGGAGAGCUCUGUGGCUCCGAAUACAGCCCCUGCGGUGUUGCCCUCUUCUUUUCUCACUGAAAGGAGGCGCUUGCACCCCGUUUCGAUCUCAAGCCACGCGCCUCUAUUCCCAAAGGCGGCCAGCCAUAUACCCGGGCAUUGGCACGGUCUGGAAAUGUUCGGUGGCCCGAUUUGGGCGAUUGGCAGGGAGAGCAUUCCAACCGGGGUCCUCCGAAGACGGCCGAGGAGAGAGAAAAGGAGGGGAGGAAACCCGACCCGGGUGUUACAACAGAAAGACCAAGGGCCGGGCCUGGCUUCUGUUUUCAGUCCUUGGCGUCGCUCCGACGCAGGCGACCUCCCCGCGCGCUAGCCCGCAGAGAAGGAAGCCUUUUUACGCGCGCCUUCCAAAUCUGGGCCGCCCUGCGCCAAGGGACGGUCCCGAUCCACGGAGGUGGGGGUCGGGGACCUCAGACACGCAUUCCCCAAAGGAGGGUGUGAAUUCCUCCCCAAGGCAGCGGUCAUUCCAGGUGCGCUGCUCCAAAAAGAGAGAGAGAAAAGGCUUGGGGUGGGUUCUCCAAGCCACACAGGAAGGUGUGUGUCCGGCUCCGGAGUCACCCAGGUCGGGCCAUGAGCGCACCUCUUCCCCGAAGAGGGUGACUCUUCCGUCUCAGGUCCCCGACCGUACGCCUGGGAGCCCCUUCCCGUCCAGCGGCGCUCUCCUCGCCGUCUCCUUUAGGUGGCACCGUCGGUUCAGGAAUGAACGGCCGGCGCUCCCGCGGAGGAUCCCGCCGUCCGGAGGAGCCGGUCCUGGCAUACUGCAGCCUCUUCUCGGCUCUCUUCUUCCUUUCUCCCGCGGGACGGUGGAGUAUUUGCCGGUGUGUGUGUGUGUGUGUGUGUGGAGGGGAGGCACAGGAGCAUCCUCUCGGCUCCCUCAUCCGCUUCUACUUCUUCCCGAAGCCCGACCCUCUGCCUGUUUCACCAGUCCCCAAAUGCUGCGCGCUUUGGAGGCGAUCUCUCCCUCUCUCUCCUUGGAGAAGGGUUGA